CACCGUAACGUGUCUUUGCAGAGUAUUGUUGUAGACGAAGCAGUCACAUAUGCAGAGGGAAUAUCAGACAAAGAUGAGGAAGAAGAAGAACACCUCAACGUGUCUUUGCAGAGUAUUGUUGUAGACGAAGCAGUCACAUAUGCAGAGGGAAUAUCAGACAAAGAUGAGGAAGAAGAAGAACACCUCAACGUGUCUUUGCAGAGUAUUGUUGUAGACGAAGCAGUCACAGAUGCAGAUGAAAUAUCAGACAAAGAUGAGGAAGAAGAAGAACACCUCAACGUGUCUUUGCAGAGUAUUGUUGUAGAUGAAGUAGUCACAGAUGCAGAGGAAAUAUCAGACAAAGAUGAGGAAGAAGAAGAACACCUCAACGUGUCUUUGCAGAGUAUUGUUGUAGAUGAAGUAGUCACAGAUGCAGAUGAAAUAUCAGACAAAGAUGAGGAAGAAGAACACCGUAACGUGUCUUUGCAGAGUAUUGUUGUAGACGAAGUAGUCACAGAUGCAGAGGGAAUAUCAGACAAAGAUGAGGCAGAAGAAGAACACCUCAACGUGUCUUUGCAGAGUAUUGUUGUAGACGAAGCAGUCACAUAUGCAGAGGGAAUAUCAGACAAAGAUGAGGAAGAAGAACACCGUAACGUGUCUUUGCAGAGUAUUGUUGUAGACGAAGUAGUCACAGAUGCAGAGGAAAUAUCAGACAAAGAUGAGGAAGAAGAAGAACACCUCAACGUGUCUUUGCAGAGUAUUGUUGUAGAUGAAGUAGUCACAGAUGCACAUGAAAUAUCAGACAAAGAUGAGGAAGAAGAACACCGUAACGUGUCUUUGCAGAGUAUUGUUGUAGACGAAGUAGUCACAGAUGCAGAGGGAAUAUCAGACAAAGAUGAGGCAGAAGAAGAACACCUCAACGUGUCUUUGCAGAGUAUUGUUGUAGACGAAGUAGUCACAUAUGCAGAGGGAAUAUCAGACAAAGAUGAGGAAGAAGAAGAACACCUCAACGUGUCUUUGCAGAGUAUUGUUGUAGACGAAGUAGUCACAUAUGCAGAGGGAAUAUCAGACAAAGAUGAGGAAGAAGAAGAACACCUCAACGUGUCUUUGCAGAGUAUUGUUGUAGACGAAGUAGUCACAUAUGCAGAGGGAAUAUCAGACAAAGAUGAGGAAGAAGAAGAACACCUCAACGUGUCUUUGCAGAGUAUUGUUGUAGACGAAGUAGUCACAUAUGCAGAGGGAAUAUCAGACAAAGAUGAGGCAGAAGAAGAACACCGUAACGUGUCUUUGCAGAGUAUUGUUGAAGACGAAGUAGUCACAUAUGCAGAGGGAAUAUCAGACAAAGAUGAGGCAGAAGAAGAACACCUCAACGUGUCUUUGCAGAGUAUUGUUGUAGACCAAGUAGUCACAGAUGCAGAGGAAAUAUCAGACAAAGAUGAGGAAGAAGAACACUUCAACGUGUCUUUGCAGAGUAUUGUUGUAGACGAAGUAGUCACAGAUGCAGAGGGAAUAUCAGACAAAGAUGAGGAAGAAGAACACCUCAACGUGUCUUUCCAGAGUAUUGUUGUAAACGAAGUAGUCACAGAUGCAGAGGAAAUAUCAGACAAAGAUGAGGAAGAAGAACACUUCAACGUGUCUUUGCAGAGUAUUGUUGUAGACGAAGUAGUCACAGAUGCAGAUGAAAUAUCAGACAAAGAUGAGGCAGAAGAAGAACACCUCAACGUGUCUUUGCAGAGUAUUGUUGUAGACGAAGUAGUCACAGAUGCAGAUGAAAUAUCAGACAAAGAUGAGGAAGAAGAACACCGUAACGUGUCUUUGCAGAGUAUUGUUGUAGACGAAGCAGUCACAGAUGCAGAGGAAAUAUCAGACAAAGAUGAGGAAGAAGAACACCGUAACGUGUCUUUGCAGAGUAUUGUUGUAGACGAAGUAGUCACAGAUGCAGAGGAAAUAUCAGACAGAGAUGAGGCAGAAGAAGAACAACAUGUGUCUUUACAGAGAGAAGCACAACUUGAACAUGGAAAAACAUGGAUCAAAAAACUAUGGAGAAUGUUGCCAGUGGUUUCCAAGAAAUUCACAAUCACAGUGAACAGGAAGAAAUGGCAAAAAAUUGUUCCACUGCAUGGUUUAACUGAGGCAACCAUGGACCCAUGUAUUGUACAACAGUUUCAGACAGAAAAAUCUCUGUUGUACUCUUGCUUUCAAGAGCCAGUAUAUUAA
ensembl:lncRNA